UAUAUUAUACUAUUAUACUGCCAUAUUUAAAAACUUAGGUGACUAGAGAAGAUAUACAUUUAUUUAAAGUUUUCAAUAACAUUUGUUGUCGGAAAAUAGGUCAGACCAGCCACUUGAUUCUCUAAAAUCACUUUUAGUCUGUCGAUUGAAGGGUUUCUGUCUAUUAGAGCAAUGAGUGAAGAAUGAAAGGAUAGAGUCAAUUAUAGUUGGAUUUAUGCCAACCUAAAACCCUAAUUCUUAAGUUCCCAGAAGAAAUAACCAAAUAUAUAUUUAUUUGCUUAUUCAUGUCUAAACCAAAUAAUCUUUAUUGCUUCUGAUCAUUAUUAUAUUGACGAUAUUCAUUUUGACCGUAAAACAAACUUGGAAUUGCUAACUAUGAUGAAUAUGUUAGCUUAAUGGAAAAAAUAGCAUGUCGUACUAAUGGACUAGGAUGAUCAUCAAGAUCUGAACCAACAAAACUUAAAUAAUAAUCUGACAAAACUUCAAGAAAGAUUCAUAAAAUUUGGAUUAAUAUAAAGAUUCAUGUAGUGAGAAAGAAAGAGUUCAUUAAGCAUAUCCUUUUCAAAAAUAAACACAGAAUUCUUCAAUAAUAAACAGGUGGAUAUCCUCAAACCAGCUAGAACAACAAGAACAUAGUAACAAAUUUGAGCAUAAACCAGAAAUUGAAAAAAACACAAAUCUUGUAUAUAAUUUAGCAGAUCAGGCAAACAAUCGGACCGAGAUGCUUGAUUCCCCAAAAUAUGAGAUAAAAGAGAGCUGUUUAAUUAGCUCUCUUCACACUCAUAAAAGAUAGUAGGUUUUCUUACGAGAAAAGCCAACCCCUUGAAACAUACUACAAUUCUAGAUGGCGAUGAAGAGUUGACAUCGAAGUGCCAAACCUUCCCGUAUAUAUAUGUUCUUCUUCUUAAGUGAUCCUUCUGACUCUUGAUCUGGUUCAGCUCUUCUUGAUUGGCAUAUGCUGUAGAGAUCAUGGACUUUGAAGGAUGACAAGAAAAGGGUGGUGGUGGAGGUGGGUGUAAUGAUGAUGGUGAGACUCACUGGAAUUAUGAGCAAAGAUGAAGACAUGAUGAUUGCUGUUUGGUGCAUAGAUAAAAUUUCUAGGUCUUGUAAGCCAUAUGUCUCUCUCUUUCUUCUCUCUCCCAAAUAUAUAACACAUACAAAAGUAUAUA
rnacentral:lncRNA from 1 species